rnacentral:lncRNA from 1 species
AAGUGAAUAGAAGGUUAUCCAACUCAUCGGAGAAAUAUUUUUAUAAGAUUGCAUACGGAAACAUCAUUGUUUACGUUUCUUCGUUCCCCGUUUUUAACAGUCUCUUCCUAAAUAAAACUCUGCAUUUAAUAUUCAUGGAAUUUUAAUCGUAAUUUACCUUGUUUGCCUUGGAUUUACAUUCAUUUAAGAUUCUGUUUUGACAAAUGUUCAAACGAAAAUUGUACAGUGGAUGAAUUAUGGGAUAUUAAUGAAAAAAGUGUUGUACAACGUAAAAAAAACUAUAUAUACAUUUGCACCAUCUCGUCAAUUUAGCCAGACUUAUCCAUAACGAUUAUAAAUGAUAUCUGGGAGUCUGCAACUCAGAAAAAUAUAUACUGGAUCUGAACAUGAAUGAAACAUUUGCCCCUGA